rnacentral:rRNA from 1 species
GAUGAACGCUGGCGGCGUGCCUAAUACAUGCGAGUCGAACGCUUAAGGAAGGAGCUUGCUCUUUCCGGAUGAGUUGCGAACGGGUGAGUAACGCGUAGGUAACCUGCCUGGUAGCGGGGGAUAACUAUUGGAAACGAUAGCUAAUACCGCAUAACAGUAGAUGUUGCAUGAUAUCUACUUAAAAGGUGCAAUUGCACCACUACCAGAUGGACCUGCGUUGUAUUAGCUAGUUGGUGAGGUAACGGCUCACCAAGGCGACGAUACAUAGCCGACCUGAGAGGGUGAUCGGCCCCACUGGGACUGGGACACGGCCCAGACGCCUACGGGAGGCAGCAGUAGGGAAACUUCGGCAAGGGACGGAAGUCUGGCCGAGAAACGCCGCGUGAGGAAAGAAGGGUGUCGGAUCGUAAAGCUCGGUUGUAAGAGAAGAAAGAGUGUGAGAGUGGAAAGUUCACACUGUGACGGUAUCUUAACAGAAAGGGACGGCUAACUACGUG